GCAGUUGUGGUGCAGCAGGUAGCACUGCUGCUUCAUAGCAAGAAGGUUGCGGGUUCAAAUCCAGCCUGCGGCC